rnacentral:rRNA from 1 species
CGGACGGGUGAGUAAUGUCUGGGAAACUGCCCGAUGGAGGGGGAUAACUACUGGAAACGGUAGCUAAUACCGCAUAACGUUGCAAGACCAAAGAGGGGGACCUUCGGGCCUCUUGCCAUCGGAUGUGCCCAGAUGGGAUUAGCUAGUAGGUGGGGUAACGGCUCACCUAGGCGACGAUCCCUAGCUGGUCUGAGAGGAUGACCAGCCACACUGGAACUGAGACACGGUCCAG